UCUCAACCACUGCGCCACCAGGGAAGCCCGAAGAUACAGUUUUGAAAUGAAUUUAAGAUACGAAUAAUACAUUCAAGAAGCCAAAGGAGAAACAACAAUUUUUCAUUCUAUACCACAUUUACUUUUGAGUAUUUAAUCAUAUUUAAAUGAAAUCUAAGUGAAAAAUUUUUAAAUAUAAAAAAUUAAACAUUUCUUCAGCAUAUACUAUAUUCAAGGCAGUGUGGUACUAUGAGCCAAAAAAGGAAGACAUAAUAUGUCCUGGUUUUGAGAAAUUUAUUGGGUUGGCCAAAAAGUUAAUUUGGGUUUUUCCGUAAGAUGUAAUACUCUUUGGUUGGGGAAAUAAGACAGAAAAAAAGGCAAGUAGUGUCAAAUGAGUAUAAGUACUAUUAGUAUAACUUGGUCUCUGUUGUCUGUAGAGAACUCAAAAUUUUUAAUAUACAUUAUAUCUACAAGGGUCCAAUGGGAGUCAGUUAUGUUAGGACUGUCUCAGGACCCUAAACAACACAAAGCAUGAUACCCCAAAGCCCCCAUUGCUGAAUGCCAUUCUCCUUCUUCAAAAAGUGUUGUUCUUCUCAGUGGCAUCCUGUCUGCUAUUCCUGGGAAAAGAGAGACUAAGUUUGUCAGACAGAAGCUGCAUCCUAACUCUCUCUCCUAGCUUGUGCUUCAGACAUCCACCGGCUUGCACUGGGUAACACCCUUUGUUUGAUUAAUCCACUUCUAAAUCACUUAUCUGCAGCCUUUCUGUACGAAGACUUAAGGGGCUCUCUAGGGCAACUGAAACUACAGAGGUGUGGCUCUACAGGAGCAGAAACCGUGAGACUGAGAAGUUUGUGAACAAUGGGCUGGGUCUCGUUCAAUCCUUUCAUCCUGGUACAGUUGCCCAUAGAGAAGAAACCUUGUUCUUAAAAUGGCAAUGAAAUUCAUUGAACAUGAAUUCCCAGAGGAUAGGAGAAACGGGCCAGACUUCUCCUACAAAAAUCUCUUGUCUGACUCCCUGCAGUACAGGUGAUUACUCUUUGGGAGAAGGUGGGCAGAAAGCAGAAAUACUGGUUAUCAUAUCACUUUCAUUUAUGUUAUGACUUGAAAAGUUUUUCAUGUUUCUCAAAUGUGAUUUUAUUAUAUGAAACCCUAAAAUACUGAGUCUACGUAGGAGUUCCUAAAAGUAGCACCUGGAAAAAAUUGGGUUUGAGCCAAAAAAAAUUACUUUAAAAGAAACUUCUCUAAAAACAUGUUGAUAUUGGUAUAUAUUUGGAACUACGUAUGCUACGUGCUAAAACCUUUGUAUUCUUUCCUUUUUAAGAAAAAUCAUUCAGUGAUUAGCAUUGAGAUACAUGAUAAAGGCUUAUGUUUCAUUGGUUUAAGCUUUCAAAUUGGGAAUUUCAAGGAUCUGGUGAAGCACAGGUUCAUCCCCAGGUUUGGCAGUCUGCAAUUUUCAAAUACAGUUUGAACUCUCCGUGCAACUAUAGAUUUCUUUCUAGCUAUAGGUUUCUUUCUAGAUAUUUAUAGUAAUGCACAGAGUGCAGAGGAGUGGAUACCUAUACCUGAAUAUUUGUUUCUCCUCUGUAGGAGGCUGGGAACAAAAUGUUUCUGUUAGUAGAAAAUGACAACAGUAAAUAUGAAGGGAAAAGAACCACAAAUCAGCAAUGAUGCAUAUGGUAAAGCAAACAUAGGGCAGCUUUAUCCCAACGUAGAAACGCUUUGAAGAGAAAUAGAGUUCAAGUGAAAUCUGUUAACCCAACACUGUGAGCGGGUUUCAGUGGAAGAGAAAAAACCCUGAGGUGAAAGAACUCUCAGGAGGGUCCCAUAAAAGGCUGAAGUGGGGCGACCUCUGCCUUGAGUUGGUUUUCAGCAGAACAGCAUUAUGGGGCAGUGAUAUUAACAUACAGAAAUAAGACCGGAGCACUUCAUCUUGUUGAGGAGAAUCAAUCUAUAUAGGCUUGUAGGACUGUGUCCUGUGGAUUAUUGGACUAGGAGCUGUGCCAGGUGCACUCAGAAAAAUUGGGGUGUUUUGAAUAAAGACAUUUCAGGUGCGGUAAAGCUCCUAUUGGUUUUAUUAGUAUUCUUAAUCAUAACUACUGUUUCUCAUGUGACUGAGGACUUUUAUCUCUACCUUCCAGAUAAAGAAACAGAAAAAGAAAGAAGUAAAAUGACAUUUCCCACAUCACUCUGUUGGCAUGUUACAGGGCAAAGAUCUUUCAGGACACCCGAGAAGAAACAUUUCUCAACGUUGUUCAUCAGCUGCCUUCUGUCUCAGCUGCCUCUGGGAUAAUCCUCUCCCUGUGUGAGGGCUGACCUGGAGAGCAGUGCUGAGCCUCUGAUCAGAUGCUAUCCCACGGAUGCUCAGGGAACAGAAUCCCACUGAAUGGAGCAUAGAUGUUUCUGAAGGUCUGAGGAUCUGUGCCCUUCUUCAGCCAAGGACUGCUGGUGGGAAUGUCAACUGAAGACCUCGAGCAGGAAACCUUUGGUACUUGAGUUUUUUAGGCAAGAAACAAUGAAAAAUUACUGUAUCCACUUCAAGAAAUGAAGAACAGAAAUGGAAAACUGAUCGUAACAAAUUGAAUACAGAAUACUAAAGCGUAGUAUUCGUGAAUAAUGAAUAUCUGCAUGUUGUCUAGAGAAAGGGGAAUGAGAAUGAAGUCCCCGACUCUCAUUCUUUUUUUGUCUCUUAGCAUCAGCAGGGCCAGGAAGAGGAUCAUUAACAGGAAGGUGGAACACUCACAGUUAACCCCCAGGAACAGAAUCUAGGAUUUCCCAGGAAGGCAUUAUUAGCCUCCUUUCCUGCAGACAUUGUGGUGCAUCUUGGGAAGAGAAACUCAAAUUAGCUACCAAAAGCUAUGUCCUAUGGUUUUAUUGAAAGAGAAUACUGAUCAGCCCAGGGAAAAUAAUAUUCUUGAGAAUUGCACAUCUUGGAACUGAAGAAAAUGAGAAAUUGGAGGGAAACUAUCCAUGAGAUAUUGGACUGCUGUCUCUGACGAUGUUCCAGUGCCCCCUGAGGGCUUCUGAGUGUAAUAAAAGCAAACGAAAGAGCGGCUUCGUAUGAAAUAAUUCACUGUGCAGGAACAAAGCUGAAUAUGGGACUCAAAGGAUCUCUGAAGUAAAGAUUAACCGCCAGUCAUCAGGAAACCUAAAGUCAUUUGAAAUAAGAGGUGCCACAAGCCAGAAGACAGAAGCCAUAAACACAUACAAUAUUAAUAAAGCAAUUACAGAAAUAUUAUACUGAGGGGAAACUAUAUCUCAUGAUGGAAGAAAUAUAGGAAUCACCCCGUUGAAUCGGUGAGGGAGAUGAAGCUGCAGUUCUGUGCUCCCAGACCCGCCCAGCAGAUGGCACCUUCCCCGUGGAGAGCUAAGUUUUCACACUAUCUGGCUGAAAUCCUCCUUCAACUUCAUAUCAGGCUGCAGACCAUCUCUUCCCAAACAGCCUACCAGAUCAUCAAAUUCAGCACGUUCCAGAUGGCGUGGAGGAUCUGCUGCCAGGGUAUUUGCCUUGUGGCCAGGAUUGGUGUCAUACGUUGGAUAUCUCCGAAAUAACCAAUACAUGGCUUCCCAGAACUUUAUUUCAUUUGGAACCUUUAUGUGAUGAUGUAAUAUGCCACAUAUGAAACUUUCCUAAUGAGAAAAGCCAGUAUUUCUGCCGCAUGUCAGAUUGCAUAGCCUGGAGGGGCAUGAUUUGGAGCAGACCCCACCUAAGUGUUUGGAUCUUCUGGAAUGUUGUCAGGGUGCUAGUUUCAGCUUGUCUCCAACCUUUCCAUCUCAGCCUAGCCUGGGACCUUAAGAUGAAACCUACCCGCAGGUGGAUUUGGCAGAGCUUUGAGGUACUCUGUGAGAGAGGGAAAAAAAAAAAAAAAAAAGCAUUGGGUAUCAAAUACAUUUGAGGAAUUGCAGAAUUCUAAAUCUGCUGUUUGAAAACUCUCACGGCUUAUUAGCAUAUUAAGGCUUUGAGAAUUCCUACAGCUCUACAAAAUUGGGUCUGUCUUGUUCCCUUUACUUUCCCGUCUUCAUCUCCCACGUCUCUCUGUCACUCUCUAGCAACUCAAUUGAUAUGGGUUAGGCACAGGCACUUGGGUUGUUGGGUUGUUACCCGGCUGUUGGGUAAUCGAGGAGGCCCCAGUGAGAUGACUGGAGCAUCUUAGCUCUGUUGCAUGCGCCUCUCAUCCUUCAGCAAGCUAGCAAAGGCAUAAUCUCCUGCCCGUCACAGAGACGCAAGAGCCAGCAAGCCCUUCAGUGUGCUUAUAUCAAUUUGCUAAUGUUCUAUUGGCCAAAUCAGGUCACAUGGCCAGGCACAGACUCAGAGCAGGCAGGCACUGCAACGCUACAAAGCAAAAGGGGCCGAUACAGGAAGAGGUGAAUAAUUUGGGUUACUUUUGUAAACUACCUUAUGUGUUAGAACUUUAAAUUUUUUUUGUUUCCCUCUACUAGAAUAUAAGCUCCACAAAGGCAGGUUUUUUUUAAAUCUAUUUUGUUAACUACUUACUU